CUGACACCUUUACAGUUGCGGUGACGGCGGCGGGGAAUGGUGCGCGGGGUGCAAGAGCCCCAAAGAAACAAUGACAAGUGGGCAAGGAAUACUCGCCGAAGCCCCCACCUCACCCCGCUUUCAAUGUUAGUGUCACUUUUCCUUCCCCGUCCCGGCCAGUCUUGGCGCUCUCUUCCCCACUCGGGUCACAUCAAGGUAGCCAGUCUACUGACUGCAUAGAAAGGGAAACACGCUGUUUCAGCUAAGAAGACAAGCGCUUACAGAAGCUGCCUGACAACUUCCACCCGAAAACGUGGAAAAUGGGGUCCUGCUAACGCUGCCCACCCAAUUUCUCCGUGAAUAGAACUGGCAGCUAAAAAGUUGCGCCCAGGGCCAUCCGGCACCUGUAAGGCCGGCGGAAGCUUCUCCUCUCCACUCUGUUGAAACCUAUAGACGCUCCUUUCGGUGCUGCAAGCGGGCCCAGGUGAGGGGCAACAGAACGUCUUAACUCUGCCUUUCAAGAUUUUGCAACUCUGGCUCAACUCUAACAUCUUCAAGAUGCAGCAAAUUUGACUUUGAUGUGGACAUUAGAGAUGCACUUUUCUCCUGUGUGGGCUCUGUUAUCCACAUCAGACUGCCCCUCUACAUGGAUGUAUCCUCACCCUACUCAGGCUGGGCCUCUCCACACUGGACUGACCUUUCUGUGAUGCUGUCUUCACCCUGUACCAGAACCUUACACAGAAAACUGCCACCUUUUUCUUAAUAUAAAGAAGACUCUUUUCCAAAAAGAAUUCAAAUUUGUCUGUGUUCGAUAAGAUUUAAGUUUAUUUUAUGACAUUUCUGUAAAAGCUUGAGCUAGGGGUGGGGUGGGUGUGUGUGUGUGUGUGUGUGUGUGUGUGUGUGUGUGUUUUAUUUCAGAAAUUAUUUUUAAAAUACAAGAAAGAGAAGGGGCGGGGGCUGCAAAUAACUUUGUUAAUUGUCUGCAUUGUAUUCAGCCUUGUGCUAGAUGCUUUCAGGAGAUGGUCUCAUUUACUUCCCACCCUUACCCCUCAGGUUAGGCAGUGUUGCCUCAGUUUUAUUGCUCAAGAAGUAAGUCUAAAAGGUUAAGGACAUAAAUGCUAAUGUUUUGGGAGAAAGCAACUUUAUUUUAAUAGAAUGAUUACAAUUGCUCAUUUAUUAAGCUGUGCCAGAAAAACUGAAUUGACAGAUUUUUUUUGGUCUUUUUUCUUUUGUAGGACUGAUUUUUGUCAUUGUUAAUUAGAUUAGGUAGAUAUUUGGUUUAAUUCUAUUUUCAGGAUAAUGAAAGGCACAGGGUUGUUUGUGUUCUUCCCUAUUACACUUUUGUUCACUGCUGUCUCCAGUAUCUAAAGGGAGUGGCAACAUUAAGUGUAAAGUAGGCAUUCAAUUUCUAUUUCAAAAGAAAGAGAAAAAGAAUGUGAGACAUAUAUAUAAUAAUAUUAUUAUUUUAUAUAUUGCUAUCAAUAUUUUAUAUAUAUAUAUAUAUCAAUAGAAAGAGAGAGAGAAAGAGAAAGGAAAAGAAGGGAAGGCAGGAAGAGAGAGGAGAUAAUCCUCUACUUGGCAUAUAAAAGGCUUCAGUAAAAAAAUAAAAAAAGAUACAGUAAGAAGUUUCACCCAUGGCAUUGGGGUGUUGUGGACUUGGGGUGGUGGAAGGUUAGCACUUAUUGGAAUUUGCUAUAUGCCAUGCACUGUUAAGCACAUUAUACCCAUAAUUUCAUUAGUCCUAAAACCAACCAAGUGAGCUAUUUAUUAUUAUUUCCAUUUUUACAAAUGAGAAAAUUGUACUUAGUGUGGUUAAGUAAUUUACCCAAGGUCACACAGCUCACAAGUGGCACAGUCAAGAUGUAAAUCUAUAUCUGUCUGACUUAUAGACAUAUUUUUUAAUGGGCUGUUUACCUAUUCAUUUAGCAAACAUUUACUGAAUCUAUAUCACUAUAUCUAUAUUACUAUAUCACUCUUGUCAGAUAAUCUCAUUUCUUCUCAUACCUUGCAAUAUCACAUGUAAGGUAAAUACUCCCGAAGUAUUUCUUCAUAUACCCAGAUGCCUUUUUGACAUUCCUUACUCUGCCAUCUGUACAUACUUUCACCUAAUAUGUAAGAUCAAAUUCUAGAUUUUAGCCCCCAAUUUGUCUUUUCCUGGGUCUCCAUUUCCUCUGCAGAUUAUACAACUAUCGAUAUAGUUAAUAAAAUCAUAAAAUUGGGAGUCAUCCUUAACUCUUUUCUUUUUUAAAAACUCUCAAAUCCUAAUCUCAUGUUUUACAAGACUUUAUAAGGCCUGUCCACUACCCCCAUCUCUACCUUUAUUUCUCUCCUGCUGCUUAUCUGCUAGUCAUAUGGGCAUUCUGGAAGUUUUGAGAACAAAUCAAGCUCUUUCUUUUUUUUUAUUACAUUAAAAAUUUUUUUUAAUUUUAUUUAUUUAUUUUUUGCCUGUGUUGGGUCUUUGUUGCUGUGCAUGGACUUUCUCUAGUUGCGUCGAGCGGGGGCUACUCUUCAUUGUGGUGCGCGAGCUUCUCAUUGCAGUGGCUUCUCUUGUUGCAGAGCAUGGGCUUUAGGCUCACGGGCUUCAGUAGUUGUGGCACGCGGGCUCAGUUGUUGUGGUGCACGGGCUUAGUUGCUCCACAGCAUGUGGGAUCCUCCCAGACCAGGGAUCGAACCUGUGUCCCCUGAGUUGGUGGGCGGAUUCUUAACCACUGCACCACCAGGGAAGUCCCAAGCUCUUUCUUACAAAAGGAUUUUGCAUUUGCUAUCAUCUUCCUGGAAUGCUUCCUUCAUCUUUUCUCUCAGGUCUCAGCUUAAAUGAAACCUCCUCAGAGAAAUUUGGUCCUGACAAACCAUAAUUAAAAAAAAAAAUUUUCUAACUAGGUCCUUGGUUAUUCUAUCAUAGCACUCUACUCAUUUUCUUCCUAGUACUUGGAAUGGUGUAGAGUUAAUUUACUUUGUUUACUUGUUAAAUGUGUCUCCACAAUAGACUGUAAACUCUUUGAUACAUUAAAUCUGGUUCUUUGCUGCAAACCUGUGACCUAGCACUGGGCUUGGUACCUAGAAGGUAUUCGAUGAAUAUUCGCUUAGUCAACAAAUAAAUAAUUUUUGGUAGAACUUCUUGAAUCCUGUCUGUGCAUUCAGAAUGUUUCUUUAAGACCCAUAAUGAUAUCCAUUUUAUGAACAGGAACACUUUUGUGUCUACCAGGAUUUUGUCUUCAGCCUCUUCUAUUUUCUCUCACAGCUCUCCAUGGAUUAGAGUCUCCUAACCUAACCCAUUAUCCCAGACAUUUCUUUUAAUUUUAGGCUGCUAUUACUGUGAGUCUUCUGAAUACAAUACAGGUAACUUAAACAUACUUUUUUCAAAGCCAAACUGUUAUUUUCUCCCCAAACUUCGUUCUUUCUGUAUACCAAGAUCAGAGUCCACACAAUUCACCCAGUCCACCAAGCUAGCAAUGUGAGUCCUCUGGACUACUGCUCUACUUCAUCCCACAUCUGAUCAAGGAAGUCCAGCCCACUUUAGCUCAGAUAUGUCUCUCAGUCUGAUUGCUUAUUUCACCUUUGCUGCCUGUGCUUUAGCACAUGUCACACUCCAUCUCAGAGACCUUUUAUCUCUUUAUUGUCUGCAGGAUAAAUUCUAAACAUCUUCCCAUAGCGUGCCAUGCCAUGCUUACCCUUUAAGAAUUAGCUCACAUAUUAUCUGUGUGAAGCUCCUUAGUGAAUUUCCCUUCUGAUAUCCUAUACUGCAUUGUGCACACAUUUAAUUGAGCACUUAUCAUGUUGAAUUGUUGUGAUCUGUCCAUUAAAUUUUGGACUUUUAAAAGACAGUGUCUGAUCAUCUCCAGCAUCUAGCAAGGUGCUUUUUGCAUAGUUUCAGUUGGUGUUUAAUGUCUGUUUUCAAAAUGAAUGAUGAUCAGUGAGGUCAGAUGGGUUCCCCAAGGUAACAUGCCUCUCUGUGGAAGAUUGAGUUUAGGUUCUCUGAUGCUUUUGCCUGCUGUAGUGUUGGCAUAAAGAGGCACUUUGAGGAGAAGACUUUACACCCUUCUGUAAUCUACAGCCUUUCUUCCAUAUUUAUCAAUCCCACAUAAAUUUACAGUGUAAAGGAAAAUAACAUGGUUAUCUUGCAAACAUAGGCCAAGACUAGCCCCACCUUCCAACCAGUUCACCUAAGUCCCCUUCUAUAAAAAUCACAUUCCAUACUUGCUUAUUUAGAUUGCAUUACGUAGACUUCAUAGCUGAUUUAAAUAUGCAGAUUAGCACAAUGCACUUAUGACUGAUGAAAAACUGUCUGUGAUUUACUAAUUCAUGUAUUUUUUUAGUAGUCAUCAGACAUGAGAUUACUCUGACAAAAGAACAGGUUAAUGACAAGUCUGAGGUCAAUUUGUAUCACUUGGAUAUUCAUGUACAUGUUCACUACAUUUAAUAACUCAUUAGUAACUCCAGCAUAGAUCAGUAGACUAAAAUGGAAAUACACUGUUUUUCAAAACACUAGGGCAGUUUUUGUGUUAGAUUGGUUAUUAAAUACUAUCACAUGAAAUUCUUGCAAAUUGAAUGUUAUCUCCCAUGGGAUUUUAUAAAUGUUUGUUAAAUAACUUCAUAGUCUGAAACAGGGGCUGGCAAACUGGCCACUGGGCCAAAUACAACCCACCUCCUGUUUUUGUAUGGUUGCACACUAAGAAUAGUUUUUGCGUUUUUUGUGGCCUCUGUUGUGGCCUCUCCCGUUGCGGAGCACAGGCUCCAGACGCGCAGGCUCAGCGGCCAUGGCUCACGGGCCCAGCCGCUCUGCGGCAUGUGGGAUCCUCCCGGACCGGGGCAUGAACCC